rnacentral:rRNA from 1 species
GACGAACGCUGGCGGCGUGCUUAACACAUGCAAGUCGAACGGUAAGGCCCUUCGGGGUACACGAGUGGCGAACGGGUGAGUAACACGUGGGUGAUCUGCCCUGCACUUCGGGAUAAGCCUGGGAAACUGGGUCUAAUACCGGAUAGAACCACUGCCUGCAUGGGUGGUGGUGGAAAGCUUUUGCGGUGUGGGAUGGGCCCGCGGCCUAUCAGCUUGUUGGUGGGGUGAUGGCCUACCAAGGCGACGACGGGUAGCCGGCCUGAGAGGGUGACCGGCCACACUGGGAGUGGGAUACGGCCCGGACUCCUACGGGGGGCAGCAGUGGGGAAUAUUGCACAAUGGGCCCAAGGCUGAUGCAGCGACGCCGCGUGAGGGAUGACGGCCGUCGGGUUGUAAACCUCUUUCAGCACCGACGAAGCGCAAGUGACGGUAGGUGCAGAAGAAGGACCGGCCAACUACGUGCCAGCCGCCGCCGUAA